AUGUUAAAUCCCUGCUUUUCUCCAAAUCUCCCUCUCUGGAAUGUGGCUGAUUUGGCAGACCUGCAUAAACACAUGGAAAAACAGCAGCAAGUAAGUAACAUGGGUAAUCUCUGCACUGCAUUUGAACUUUGUGUUAGUUGGCCUAUUUUAGCCUUGGAUAAAAGCUUUUCUUCCAGCUCUACAGCACGAGGACAUCCACUGUGUCUCCUGGAGUUGCAGACUACUCCUUGCCACUGCUGGUGGGGCCAGCCCCUGAGAUCUGGGCUUUGCUCUCACACACGCUUUCACUAUCAUCUGAGACAUAUUGUGCAGGCAAAACCAGACUGCCCCAGAGUGCAGAGGAUCACCCGGAGCGGAGGCAACCAGGAUACGUGCCUUGGUCUGGAAGGUGUGGGGGUGUUCCUGUGCUCCCAGCAAAGACAGGGGCAGGAGAGCCUGCAAUCUCUGUGUGACUCUCUCCCUCAGCAGCAGGAUGAAGAUGAAGAUUUCCUUUUGCUGUCAUGUCAGACAAGAGGGGAAGAUGGCUGA
rnacentral:lncRNA from 1 species